AGAUUUUCUGUCCGCAAUUGCAUGUUGGAAAAGCUAGCUGCUAAACAACCGAGGCUGGCCGAUCGCUCCACGCCACUAGAGAAUGAUAGUACUACCUGUAUAGCAGUAAGAGCAGCCACUAUAGCGGGACCCCCGAAUCCGUGGGAGAUGAGGGAGAAGUGCGUGAGGUGUCGCUGGAUGGCUGGCUCUAGGAGGUGCGGAGGCCGUGUGUUGCACAGCGGCGACCGAUCUUGAUUUAGAAGAUUUUGUGGUCAUUAUACCUGUUUGGUGGCCUGCAGCAAAUCCCUGCGCCGCCUGGCGUCGUGUUCGGCGUACUGCCUCGCGAGGUAUUCCGCCAGCGCCCGCGCAGGGAACUCUGUCUCACA